UACGUAGGGACCGAGCGUUGUCCGGAAUCAUUGGGCGUAAAGGGCUCGUAGGCGGCCAACUAAGUCGGAUGUGAAAUCCCCAGGCUUAACCUGGGAACUGCAUCCGAUACUGGAUGGCUUGAAUCCGGGAGAGGGAUGCAGAAUUCCAGGUGUAGCGGUGAAAUGCGUAGAUAUCUGGAGGAAUACCGGUGGCGAAGGCGGCAUCCUGGACUGGCAUUGACGCUGAGUGAGCGAAAGCCAGGGGGGCAAACGGG
rnacentral:rRNA from 1 species